rnacentral:rRNA from 1 species
CAUGGCUCAGGAUGAACGCUAGCGAUAGGCUUAACACAUGCAAGUCGAGGGGCAGCACAAGGUAGCUUGCUAUCUGGGUGGCGACCGGCGCACGGGUGCGUAACGCGUAUGCAACUUGCCCUAUACAGGAGGAUAACCCGUCGAAAGACGGACUAAUACUGCGUAUGCUCACAGCUUGGCAUCAAGAAGUGAGGAAAGAAAUUCGGUAUAGGAUAGGCAUGCGUCCCAUUAGCUUGUUGGUGAGGUAACGGCUCACCAAGGCAACGAUGGGUAGGGGAACUGAGAGGUUUAUCCCCCACACUGGUACUGAGACACGGACCAGACUCCUACGG